UACGUAGGGGGCAAGCGUUGUCCGGAUUCAUUGGGCGUAAAGAGCUCGUAGGCGGCUUGGCAAGUCGGGUGUGAAAACUUCAGGCUCAACCUGGAGCGGCCACUCGAUACUGCCAUGGCUAGAGUCCGGUAGGGGACCACGGAAUUCCUGGUGUAGCGGUGAAAUGCGCAGAUAUCAGGAGGAACACCGGUGGCGAAGGCGGUGGUCUGGGCCGGUACUGACGCUGAGACGCGAAAGCGUGGGGAGCGAACAGG
rnacentral:rRNA from 1 species